UACGGGGGGGGGCAAGCGUUGUUCGGAAUUACUGGGCGUAAAGGGCUCGUAGGCGGCCAACUAAGUCGGACGUGAAAUCCCCAGGCUCAACCUGGGAACUGCGUCCGAUACUGGAUGGCUUGAAUCCGGGAGAGGGAUGCAGAAUUCCAGGUGUAGCGGUGAAAUGCGUAGAUAUUGGGUGGAACACCGGUGGCGAAAGCGGCUCUCUGGUCCGGACCUGACGCUGAGGCGCGAAAGCGUGGGGAGCAAACAGGG
rnacentral:rRNA from 1 species